AUGAACGUGCUCACUCAACUCCUUGGGUUGCUGCUACUCUGGCUUACAGGUGGUAAAUGUGACAUCCAUAUGACACAGUCUCCUGCCUCCCUGUCUGGAUCUCUGGAAGAAAUUGUCAACAUCACAUGCCAGGCAAGCCAGGGCAUUGGUAAUUCGUUAUCAAGGUAUCAGCAGAAACCAGGGAAAUCUCAGCUCCUGAUCUAUGAUGCAACCAGCUUGGCAGAUGGCGUCCCAUCAAGGUUCAGAGGCAGUAGAUCUGGCACACAGUUUUCUCUUAAGAUCAGCAGACUACAGGUUGAAGAUAUUGGAAGCUAUUACUGUCCACAGCAUUAUAGUACUCAUCCCACAGUGAAUCAGGCCAUGACAUAA